rnacentral:lncRNA from 1 species
UGAUGAACAAUCUGUUGCCUACCCACAACAUUGGGCCAAUGGUCGAAAUGAUAUGUGAAGCCGAGGAAUUUGAUCCGGCACUGAAGGCUAUUGCAGCCAUUGCCGAGAUAAAAGAAAAUAAAAAAAAAAUGAUUUCCAAGUCUGAAAGUUCCCCAUCAAACAGGAGUCUCAGUAGCGAGUCUUGUUAUCUUUUCUGCGUCUGGAUAAUCUCAG